GUUGAUGUAGACGGCGUGAAAACGGAAACAACAAGUAUGCCGGCUCACUGUGCUGCAUACAGUUACACACUACGUCGUACGAUUGAGACAAGGAAACUUGGAAUGACUUUUCAUAGGUUUCCCAGAGACUAUGGGUUGAGGAGGAAUUGGAAGUUUGUCGGCUUAGACCUGGUGUCAUUCCAUCAGUGUUAAACUUCCCGGUUCAUCUUGGAAGAGUACGUGCCAGAAAGACCACGACCAAGCAGCCUUGAGAUCUUAGGCAGCGUCUCCCUGAGACCAAAGAACUACAGACUCUUCACAACCUGCUCAAACUCUUGGUACAGGACCUCACCACACG
ensembl:lncRNA